rnacentral:rRNA from 1 species
AUUGAACGCUGGCGGCAUGCUUUACACAUGCAAGUCGAACGGUAACAGGCCGCAAGGUGCUGACGAGUGGCGAACGGGUGAGUAAUGCAUCGGAACGUGCCCAGUCGUGGGGGAUAACGCAGCGAAAGCUGCGCUAAUACCGCAUACGAUCUAUGGAUGAAAGCGGGGGACCGUAAGGCCUCGCGCGAUUGGAGCGGCCGAUGUCAGAUUAGGUAGUUGGUGGGGUAAAGGCUCACCAAGCCAACGAUCUGUAGCUGGUCUGAGAGGACGACCAGCCACACUGGGACUGAGACACGGCCCAGACUCCUACGGGAGGCAGCAGUGGGGAAUUUUGGACAAUGGGCGCAAGCCUGAUCCAGCAAUGCCGCGUGCAGGAAGAAGGCCUUCGGGUUGUAAACUGCUUUUGUACGGAACGAAACGGUCCGGGUUAAUACCCUGGGCUAAUGACGGUACCGUAAGAAUAAGCACCGGCUAACUACGUGCCAGCCGCCGCCGUAAAAC